rnacentral:rRNA from 1 species
UACGUAGGUGGCAAGCGUUGUCCGGAAUUACUGGGCGUAAAGGGUGUGUAGGCGGAUAUUUAAGUAGAACGUGAAAGGUUGGAGCUCAACUCCAACAUUGCUUCCUAUACUGGAUGUCUUGAGUUUCGGAGAGGAAGAUGGAACGACACGUGUAGCGGUGAAAUGCGCUGAUAUGUGUCGGAACACCAAUAGCGAAGGCAAUCUUCUGGACGAAUACUGACGCUGAGACACGAAAGCAUGGGUAGCGAACAGG